AGGACGAACGCUGGCGGCGUGCUUAACACAUGCAAGUCGAGCGAACCUUCGGGUUAGCGGCGAACGGGUGAGUAACACGUGGGCAACCUGCCCCAGACUUUGGAAUAACUCCGGGAAACCGGGGCUAAUGCCGAAUAUUCACGCUUCCGGGCAUCUGGUUGUGUGGAAAGAUUUAUCGGUCUGGGAUGGGCCCGCGGCCUAUCAGCUUGUUGGUGGGGUGACGGCCUACCAAGGCGACGACGGGUAGCC
rnacentral:rRNA from 1 species